AACAGCAGCCAUAUCACUCUGCAACUCAUAAUUGGCAGCCCACUGAAGUUAAGCAAUUGUGAGCCUGGUCAGAACCUGGAUGGGAGACCUCCUGGGAAAAACAGGUUGCUGCUGGGA
rnacentral:rRNA from 1 species